UCUUCAUUCCCAGCUAUUGUCUCUCUCGCCCACCACACUCCACUCGCAAUGUAUGACAUGGACAUCGCCGCCCACUCCAUCGCCUAAUCAUCCUAUCGUCGUGCUCCGCCGCGCCCUGCAGGUGCUUCUCAUCCGCCGCGUCCUGCAGGUGCACUGCUCGUAGCUGUUGAUCUGGUUUGCCGCCAUUGAUUCGUCGCCUCCUUCAUUUUAGGGUUCCUGUUUUUCGACCGAACGCGCUUCAAAUCAAGGGUUCCUGUUCUUCGACCGAACGCGCUUCAAAUCAAGCAAUCUUGUCCUUUCUUGGUGAUAUCGGUACGCGCAAGAAUUAUCAUCUACCCACCAUCUAUCCGAGGAGGUAAUUGCAUUUUGCCUUCCCUACAAAUUUGCGUAGAAAUCAAUUUGUUCCAUAUGAGAAUUAUGGUCCUUCUGCAAUGUUCUAUAUGUCUUCCCUACUAAUUUAAUUACCUACAAUAUUGCAAAUGGAUCUUCUAUCA